CAUGCCCUUCCUGUUGAUGGGGAAGGGUUCUACCAACGGAGCCGUAUCACCAGCCACAAUACCCAUUCUCAGUGAGAAUCGGGGAUGUGUGUGAGCGUGACGCCUUUCUUCCGGGCCAUGUGAGAGAGGAUGAGAAGGCUCCUGUCAGUCCUCCAACCCCACUACCAGGCACUGUGGGAAACUCUGCACCCUCUGUGGCUGGCAUUCCUAUCUGUGGUCCCUUUCCUCCAAUGAGAGCCAUCAGUAUGAAGAAGGAUGCCUUACAGCAACCACUUUAGCCCUUGGAUCUCAGUCUCCCAGACCCCCACUGCUCUCGUUCCGUCCCAGCUCCUUAAGAAGCUGUGCUUUGUGAGCACAAGGGUUAAUGUGCAUCCUGACCCAGGAGCAUCUGGUCCGCUCUGGGCACCUUGCUCCAAGGAGGUGUCCCCAGGCACGUGGAACAUGCCAGAGGGAGCGAGCCAGGGUACUCAAAUCACAAAGACCCCAAGGGGAGGCCCCUCUGCCUCAGUCAGCCCCAUACGAGGCUGUGGAACAUGGGCAAACGGUACAAGCUGAAGGCAUGGCUCCCGAAGCAUUUGCUUUAGGCUACACGACGCCUUCAUCUCAUGGGCUGGGACACCCCAGGACCCCAGAGAUGGACCCGAAGGAAAAGGAUGAUUGAGAGAGCAAGUGAUAUCGGCUGCCAAAUGGCCACGAUGUCCCUAUUGACCCCAUAGCCUGCCCCCUUGUCGCCUUGCCAACCCGUGCAGCCUGUCUCAGAGGACCUCCCGGGGACUGCUCACCUGAAC